CAGCAGCCGCCACGGUAAAACGAAGGGUGCAAGCGUUACUCGGAAUUACUGGGCGUAAAGCGUGCGUAGGUGGUGGUUUAAGUCCGUUGUGAAAGCCCUGGGCUCAACCUGGGAAUUGCAGUGGAUACUGGGUCACUAGAGUGUGGUAGAGGAUAGUGGAAUUUCCGGUGUAGCAGUGAAAUGCGUAGAGAUCGGAAGGAACAUCUGUGGCGAAGGCGACUAUCUGGGCCAACACUGACACUGAGGCACGAAAGCGUGGGGAGCAAACAGGAUUAGAUACCCGUGUAGUCCCUGUCUCUUAUAC
rnacentral:rRNA from 1 species